ACGGGACACCUGCAUCUGCCAACAAGACUGGAAGCAGAAAGGGACAGAGACGGCGAAGUUUGACGGUCUGGAAAGCAGAGACCAGCAGGGCUGACUGCUUGGGAGCACGAGGGACAGCUCUCCACCGACCGAAGGAGGAGAAUGCUAUUUAUUUCAGCACCAAAUAUCCGGACAGCGCCUCUCGGGAGGUCCGAGAAGAGAACCGCGAUCUGUUUCAGCACCGGGGCUCAGGACAGUUCCCAGCGGGCUCCGUUUCGUCUCCAGAACCCUGGACAGCUCCUCCAGUAGAGACGGGGUUUCACCAUGUUGGCCAGGCUGGUCUCAAACUCUUGACCUCUUCAUCCGUCCACCUCAGCCUCCCAAAGUGCUAGGAUUACAGGCGUGAGUCACUGCGCCUGGCCCAAGUCCGGAAUUUUCAACAGGACAUGGGUGUUACUGUGCCCAUGUGACAUUUGGGGAACCCAAGGCCCUGAGAAAGGCAGAAAAAUAACCCACGCAGGGACUCUCAGCCCACAAGUGAAGCUGAGAACCGGGAAUGGAAAACAGGGAGGCAGCACAGAGGCAGGAAACUCAGGUGUCAUAGCUUGGCUCAGCUUGGAAUGCACUCCCUCCACCUCCAACCAGAGCUCCCCACAACUGACCCUGCCUUCUUCUGCAAGCUCCAUUUCAUCAAGGGAAACGAUCCUUAUUGCCUCACCAUUUCCCACGUGAAGUCUGUAUUGACAUUCUCAUAGACCUGGGAUAUUGUGUCUGCAGCACAUAGUCCAAUUAUUUUCAUGUUAUCUACUGACAGGUCUAUUUGUCUCCCUGUUACACUGUGAGCUCCGUGAGGGCAGAAACAAUGUUAGUAUUUUCACUGCUGUGUCCCCAGCGCCUGGUCCGGGGCCCGGCACACAGCAGGCAUAUAAUAAGCAUGUGUUGAAUCAAUAAAGGCAUCAAAGAAUAAACCAAUACAUCAAUCAAUAAA
rnacentral:lncRNA from 1 species